rnacentral:lncRNA from 1 species
GACGUGUUUGUUUCCUGGUAGCGUGCAUGGGGAUUUUUGACGUGGGCUCUUUGGCAUUACUGGCCAAAAAAUUGGUUGACUUUUCCACGAUCUUCGUUGCAUGAAAAUAGGUUUUAUUGCCUCUUCUUUACUUUUUUUUGCAUUUAUUACAUAUUCUGUGCAUGCAUGGUUAUUUCUUGGGUAAAAGUACGUUAAUCCUAUUAUUUUG